rnacentral:rRNA from 1 species
GAUGAACGCUGGCGGCGUGCCUAAUACAUGCAAGUCGAGCGAACAGACGAGGAGCUUGCUCCUUUGACGUUAGCGGCGGACGGGUGAGUAACACGUUGGUAACCUACCUAUAAGACUGGGAUAACUUCGGGAAACCGGAGCUAAUACCGGAUAAUAUUUCGAACCGCAUGGUUCGAUAGUGAAAGAUGGCUCUGCUAUCACUUAUAGAUGGACCUGCGCCGUAUUAGCUAGUUGGUAAGGUAACGGCUUACCAAGGCAACGAUACGUAGCCGACCUGAGAGGGUGAUCGGCCACACUGGAACUGAGACACGGUCCAGACUCCUACGGGAGGCAGCAGUAGGGAAUCUUCCGCAAUGGGCGAAAGCCUGACGGAGCAACGCCGCGUGAGUGAUGAAGGUCUUCGGAUCGUAAAACUCUGUUAUUAGGGAAGAACAAACGUGUAAGUAACUGUGCACGUCUUGACGGUACCUAAUCAGAAAGCCACGGCUAACUACGUG